UACGGGAGGCAGCAGUGGGGAAUAUUGCACAAUGGGCGCAAGCCUGAUGCAGCCAUGCCGCGUGUAUGAAGAAGGCCUUCGGGUUGUAAAGUACUUUCAGUCGUGAGGAAGGUGUUAAGGUUAAUAACCUUAGCAAUUGACGUUAGCGACAGAAGAAGCACCGGCUAACUCCGUGCCAGCAGCCGCGGUAAUACGGAGGGUGCGAGCGUUAAUCGGAAUUACUGGGCGUAAAGGGCACGCAGGCGGUUAAUUAAGUUGGAUGUGAAAUCCCCGGGCUUAGCCUGGGAAUGGCAUUCAAGACUGGUUAGCUAGAGUCUUGUAGAGGGGGUAGAAUUCCAUGUGUAGCGGUGAAAUGCGUAGAGAUGUGGAGGAAUACCGGUGGCGAAGGCGGCCCCUGGACAAGACUGACGCUCAUGUGCGAAAGCGUGGGGAGCAAACAGGAUUAGAUACC
rnacentral:rRNA from 1 species